ACUCAAAGGAAUUGACGGGGACCCGCACAAGCAGCGGAGCGUGUGGUUUAAUUCGAUGCGACGCGAAGAACCUUACCUGGAUUCAAUCGAGAUUGCACCGCCCGUAAUGGGGCGUACCCGCGAGGGACGGUCUCGACGGUGCUGCAUGGCUGUCGUCAGCUCGUGCCGUGAGGUGUUGGGUUAAGUCCCCUAACGAGCGCAACCCCUGAGGCUGGUUACACGUCCAGUCUGACUGCCUCGCACAACGGGGAGGAAGGCGGGGAUGACGUCAAGUCAGCACGGCCCUUACGACCAGGGCAACACACACGCUACAAUGGUCGGGACAAACGGCCGCGAAGGGGCGACCCGCAGCCAAUCCGUAAACCCGGCCUCAGUGCAGAUUGCAGGCUGCAACUCGCCUGCAUGAAGGAGGAGUUGCUAGUAACCGCCGGUCAGCAUACGGCGGUGAAUACGUUCCCGGGUCUUGUACACACCGCCCGU
rnacentral:rRNA from 1 species